UACGAAGGGUGCAAACGUUGCUCGGAAUCAUUGGGCGUAAAGCGCACGUAGGCGGCUUCGCAAGUCGGAUGUGAAAUCCCUCGGCUCAACCGAGGACGUGCAUCCGAAACUGCGAAGCUUGAGUACAGAAGAGGAUCGCGGAAUUCCCGGUGUAGAGGUGAAAUUCGUAGAUAUCGGGAGGAACACCGGUGGCGAAGGCGGCUUCCUGGACCGACACUGACGCUGAGGCGCGAAAGCUAGGGGAGCAAACGGG
rnacentral:rRNA from 1 species